CAGAAGGAACCUUCGUCCAAUGACUCUUGUGUGUAAUGUAAUGGAACUAAGAGUCAUGAUCAAAGGCUAGCUUAGGCUCUAGAAGGAAGUAUACCAAUCUAAUUGUCUUUGACAUUCAUCUCAUGUCACCGCUCUCCCUUUCAGUUGCAAAGUGCAGUAACACCAUAAGCCUGUUUGUUUACAUCUCUCAGAAGGCAGUCUACCGCAACCGCUGCAGCCUUCACUCAGCCAACCUCUACUGCAACCACAGAAGCCGUGGAUAACAGACACGACCACAGGGCUGAGCCCGUUGACAGAUACGACCACAGGGCUGAGCCCGUUGACAGAUACGACCACAGGGCUGACUGAGAAGACAGCAUCUGAUGUGAGAGAUGUAGACUAACAGUGCCAUCUUGUGGUGAUCAUCAGGUGGGUCCAAUUCUAUGGCUGGGCCCUCAAGACAGAUGACGUCAUCAAGGGUCUGUGUGAACAGGGGAAGAAGAACCUUCUGCUGGUCCCCAUCGCCUUCACCAGCGACCACAUGGA